GAUGAACGCUGGCGGCGUGCCUAAUACAUGCAAGUCGAGCGAACAGACGAGGAGCUUGCUCCUCUGACGUUAGCGGCGGACGGGUGAGUAACACGUGGAUAACCUACCUAUAAGACUGGGAUAACUUCGGGAAACCGGAGCUAAUACCGGAUAAUAUAUUGAACCGCAUGGUUCAAUAGUGAAAGACGGUUUUGCUGUCACUUAUAGAUGGAUCCGCGCCGCAUUAGCUAGUUGGUAAGGUAACGGCUUACCAAGGCAACGAUGCGUAGCCGACCUGAGAGGGUGAUCGGCCACAUGGGAACUGAGACUCGGUCCAGACUCCUACGGGAGGCAGCAGUAGGGAAUCUUCCGCAAUGGGCGAAAGCCUGACGGAGCAACGCCGCGUGAGUGAUGAAGGUCUUCGGAUCGUAAAACUCUGUUAUUAGGGAAGAACAAAUGUGUAAGUAACUAUGCACGUCUUGACGGUACCUAAUCAGAAAGCCACGGCUAACUACGUG
rnacentral:rRNA from 1 species